GCCCCAGUAACGGCGAGUGAAGCGGCAACAGCUCAAAUUUGAAAUCUGGCCCUCGGGUCCGAGUUGUAAUUUGUAGAGGAUGCUUUUGGCGCGGUGCCUUCCGAGUUCCCUGGAACGGGACGCCAUAGAGGGUGAGAGCCCCGUCUGGUUGGACACCAAGCCUCUGUAAAGCUCCUUCGACGAGUCGAGUAGUUUGGGAAUGCUGCUCUAAAUGGGAGGUAUAUGUCUUCUAAAGCUAAAUAUUGGCCAGAGACCGAUAGCGCACAAGUAGAGUGAUCGAAAGAUGAAAAGCACUUUGAAAAGAGAGUUAAAUAGCACGUGAAAUUGUUGAAAGGGAAGCGAUUAUGACCAGACUUGGGCUUGGUUGAUCAUCCGGCGUUCUCGCCGGUGCACUCUUCCGGCCCAGGCCAGCAUCAGUUCGCUGCGGGGGAUAAAGGCGUCGGGAAUGUGGCUCCCUCGGGAGUGUUAUAGCCCUUCGUGCAAUGCCCUGCGGUGGACUGAGGACCGCGCUUUAUGCAAGGAUGCUGGCGUAAUGGUCAUCAUCGACCCGUCUUGAAACACGGACCAAGGAGUCGUCUUCGUAUGCGAGUGUUCGGGUGUCAAACCCCUACGCGUAAUGAAAGUGAACGCAGGUGAGAGCUUCGGCGCAUCACCGACCGAUCCUGAUGUUCUCGGAUGGAUUUGAGUAAGAGCAUACGGAGCCGGACCCGAAAGAAGGUGAACUAUGCCUGUAUAGGGUGAAGCCAGAGGAAACUCUGGUGGAGGCUCGCAGCGGUUCUGACGUGCAAAUCGAUCGUCAAAUAUGGGCAUGGGGGCGAAAGACUAAU
rnacentral:rRNA from 1 species